rnacentral:rRNA from 1 species
UACGGAGGGGGCUAGCGUUGUUCGGAAUCACUGGGCGUAAAGCGCGCGCAGGCGGGUGGGCAAGUCGGAAGUGAAAUCUCGCCGCUCAACGACGAGGCUGCUUCGGAUACUACCCAUCUAGGGACCGGUAGAGGCUGGUAGAAUUGCAGGUGUAGCGGUGGAAUGCGUAGAGAUCUGCAAGAAUACCCGUGGCGAAGGCGGCCAGCUGGGCCGGGUCCGACGCUGAGGCGCGAAAGCGUGGGGAGCGAUCCGG